AUACGUUUUUUCGAUCGGCGAAAGGAUUGUCUCGGCGGUUCACUCGGUCGCGGUGAGUUAUGCUGGUAGUUGCUCUGCUCUGAUGAGAUUGGUCUCCGGUGGUACAGAGUUCUGGCUUGAAGCUCCGUUGCGGCGGAGGUUGGAAGCGGGUUCCUCGGUUGACGCGUGUCUCCUUCUUUCUCUGGUUCGGGCACGUAGGCUCAACAAAUGGCGUUUCCUCCUCCAGAGUAUAGACACUUUAGUUGGCUCAUGGAAACGUCAGGUUCCAGAUCCUUAAAGUUCUCCAAUAACCUGGAGAGGGUGAGAGCAUCACUAGGCUUAAAUGAGGAUUUUGUGGUGGUGCUCUCUGGAAGACUUCCAUUGUUUCAAGUUCCUUCCAGAGAUGUGACUUUUUUGCAAAAGGCAAAACCAUGGUUGUGGCCUCCCUCAACACCAGGAGUAGAAGAACUAAGGUUAUGUUCUCUUUUCCUCUUUUGAUUGUUGUUAACUUCUUCGCUGCUCUCCUGCAACCGCGAAACCAUUUAAAAGGAACCUUAGUUAGUAAAAACUAGUGCAUAUAAGUGCUUAUAAGUUUUAUAAACUAAGUUCUUGGAUAUUUCCUUUGAUUUGAAAAUGAAAUUUCCUUUUUACUGUCUUGAUCUGGAACAGAUCCGGUGGUGAAUUGAAGUAAACCCAAGCUUUCUCAUGGUCUAUCUUCUUGAAAAACACACCGGUCCACCCACCCUUCCUUGAACCGGACGGAUAAACUUCCGGUAAGUGAUUUUCCGAGUAGUGGAGCCAUCGUCCGCUACCAAAGACGCAUGAAGCCUUUUGUUUCCAUAUACAGGCACAGAGGUUUCAAGAAUGGCUCUGACCCUUUAAGACCUUCUUCGUUAGAGGAGACUUCAAUCCAUUCGCCUCUCCUCAUUGCCAUUUUCGGAAAAUAGAAACUCUUAACUGUUUUUCUCUCCUUGUGAGUGGGUAAUCAGAGAGUCAUAACAAAAUAAGUAUCUUCUGGACUUUGGUAUUUUUGAUGUUUUGGCGCGAUUUAAUUUUUUUCUGCACA